rnacentral:lncRNA from 1 species
GCCCUGGCUCCAAGGCCGGUGGCAGGAGGGCGGCUGCUCGUUUGCUGCCGGCUUUAAUUAAUGAGGGCAGCAAAGCCAGGCUUUGCUCUCUCCUCAUGUUCACAUUUAUGGCAAAUCAGGACGUGGCUCCCUCCUGAUAAAUGGGCUGAGAGGGCUCUGUCUAAUUCCUGGGUGAUAAAAACACCAAUUGCUGACAUUUCCCUCUGUUUUCCCUUCCUCUGACAUUUCAUUUAGGAGAAAACAACGCCAGCCACUCCAAAUGUGCUCUCAUUGACAUUUGCUGGCCCUGAUUAAGCCAGAGUUUGACAGGAAGGGGAUGUCCCUGUCCCCAGGAUCCCAAAAUCCCCCCAGGGAAUUCCUCCCAGGACAGGCUGAGCUGCUCCCAGCUCAGGAAUCACCUCAGCUCACCCCACCCAGCCCAAAUUAAACCAACCCCUCACUGCAGCCCGGCAGGAAAUCCAAUUUAUAGUCAUGCUAGGGACUCCAAUUACCACAGCCAUUAACAAUUUGUUAAUGAGUCAAUUAACAUGCUUUGGGAUCUAUGGAGAAAGGCCAUUAUAAAUAUGAUGGCAUCAAAUACUGCACAAAUAAAGAUUUGAGUGUGCCAGGGGCUGCUGCUGGGUGCAGGUGGGACCAGCUCCACUGAGAUCCUUCCCUGCCAGGACAGCCUGGAAGCUGCUGGGAUGGCCAGGAAUGCUGCUGGGAUGGCCAAAACCCUCCCAGGAUGGACACAAACCCUCCCAGGAUGGACACAAACCCCCCAAGGAUGGACACAAACCCCCCCAAGGAUGGACACAAACCCCCCAAGGAUGGACACAAACCCUCCUGGCACUCUCCAGGAUCCCAAUUUAUUCCAGGGCAGCUUCCUGAGCUUUAUCCCUCCUCCAGCACCUCCAGGGUCACCAGAAUUCCCAAAAUCCAACAUUCCCAAAUCCCAUCCUGGAUCAGCUUCACCCACAGCCCCCUCUGGGCACAAAAUUGGGAUGAGAGGACACCGAGUUUAACCCUGGGAAUGUUUUCCCAUCAUCUGCCUCAAAAAAGGAAGGGAAUUGUUGGGAGCACCAAGAGCAUCUCGAGAGUGGGGUGACAUUGUCACCGCUGCUUCCAUGGAAACCGCGUUUGUUUCUCGGAGCUGUUCCAGCAUAAUUAAUAAAAACCUCCCCUGCACGUGGGCCCUGCUCUGA